rnacentral:lncRNA from 12 species
GUUACAGAUGAGAAGUACAGUGAUGUUCCUUGAAAGGAGCUGCCACAGACUUGCAGGCUAUGGUGCUUUGACAGCACAGCAGAGGAACUGCUUCAAACCUAAGAAAACUCUCAUGGCUGCAUCUGUCUUUACAGGCAGGAUUUGAAGUAGACUCUUCUCCAAGAAGGUGAACUCAUUGGGAAAAAAACAGCAGCAAGAGGAGUCACCAGUGGUGUG